CACCCCCGGGGGCACCGGUGGCCAGGUACCGAGCUGUGCGCCCGGCGAAGGGGGGCCGGGCCUGUCUUGGCUUCUAAAGCUUAGUUUAAGCGUUCCAGAUUUUUCUCUUUUGGCGUACUUCUGUUUUAAGAACUCCUGAAGCACACCGGCCGAACAACCAGCCAGCCCUUCUUAGUCCUAAGGUCAAGACCAGGGACCCUCCCUUGGCGAGGCUUAAAUCUCAAUCAAGAAGGACUCUGAAGGAAAUUCAGAGUCUUUUUAUCCUUGUCCCAAUGACACUGAUUCUUUCUUUCUGUUGCAAGUUAAUCUUUGGUGAUGAGGAAAAGUAAGGAGGUGUAUGACCUACUUUCAUUAUAGAGAAAGCAGCUGACUAGGGAAAAUGCAGCUGAUUGGAGAAGGAAGGAAACGUUGGUAACAAAGAACAUUCUUGAGAGUGAUAUUCCGCAUUUGCAACAUUAAAACAGACACUGUAUAUAGCAUCUCAUUUCUCCCCGCCCCCACCCAGCCGGGAAACAUGCCUGAAGGUAACAAGGGAUUUGUCACAGAAGCUCGCCACUGAAGUGCCUGGGGGUUUGAAGCCAGGCGACACUGGAGACCCGUCUCCAGGGAGGCAAAGACUGCCUUCACUAUUGGAGCCAGACCGUUGACUGUGGUGCGAAAGCCCUGGUCUCUGCACACGGGAAAGGGUUUCCAAGCAUGGUCUUGUAGGAUGUUCAUACCUGCUGUUAUGGACUGAAUGUUUGUGUCUCCCCAAAACUCACAGGCUAAAUCUCUCACCCCCAGUGUGAUAGGAGUUGCGGGUGGGGCCUUUGAGAGGUAAUUAGGUUCAGAUGAGGUCUCGAGGGCUGGGCCCCUUGAUGAGAUUAGUGCCCUUUUAAGAAGAGAAAGAGAGACUUGAGCCUUUUCUUGGUCCGCCAUGUGAGGACAGCGUGAGAAGACAGCCAUCUGCAAGCCAGAAGAGGGUCCUCAUGGAGAAACUUAAUCAACUGGCACCUGGAUCUUGAAGUUCCCAGACUCUAGAUCUAAACUAAAUAAACCAAAUAAACAAAUUCCUGUUGUUUAAGCCACUGGGUCAAUGGUAUUCAGUUACUGUAGCCUGAGCUGACUAGGACAACUGCAUACUUUAACGCUACUCUGACAUCGAAAUUUUGACUUAUUCCUCUUAGCCCUUUACUCAGCGUUACUGUUUGAUUUGGGCCCGUUCUUGCCUGUGACCUAGACAGCCUGUCAGGUCAAAAGUCCUCAUGCUAUUCCGUGGAAACGGUUACUCCUCCAACAUCUCCGAGUUCAAAGAUUGAAUCCCGGGAGAUUCCCCUAACCAGGAGUAGUUAGUGUUUUUGUUUUGUUUUGUUUUAAAUUGCAUUUCCUUGAUAAUUUAUUCAUUGCACUUAAUCGCCAACACUAUAUUAAAAUAAUUUCUUUUCC